UUGAAGGCGGGAAUGUAAGCCAACACAUGUAUUAAAAACAUGAUGCAGAAAUCAAGAACACUUGUUAUUUUUCUUAUUUUAAUGCAUUUCUCUCUUGAGAAAAAUUUGGAUGUAAAACAAAUUCUCUACGAAAGUGGUUAUUUAGAAUCUUUGAAUGUAGAUCCUGAAGAUUUAAAGGCUGCAAUUGAAAAGUAUCAGAAAAAGUUCGGUUUGACCGUAACUGGGAACAUAACUGAAGAGUUGAUAAAGAAAAUGUCGGUCCCUCGUUGUGCAAAACCUUAUAAUCUUCGCACAAAUGAGAAAACACCUGGCAGGAAAGUACUUUAUGUGUUUCAAAUUUAUUACCAACUAAUUUUUUAAUAGGCAAAUGGACAAAAUCUCACAUAACGUAUAAAAUAAAAAACUCGACAACUAAUGUUCCAGAAUCUGUAGUUAGAAGAACGUUUGAGAAAUUUAUUACAGAAUGGACGGAUAAAAUUGACCUUAAAAUUACAGAAGCAAAGUCCGACAAAGCUGACAUUCAAGUUCAUUUUACAGUUCAGGACGGGCCAUAUAACAAUCUUGGCUAUGCCUACUUUCCGUGCAAAUUAUAGAACCACGGUGGUGACAUAUUUUUUGAUCAGGAUGAAGAAUGGAUUGAUUUUUGGGACAUGGACGGCAAUAGAAUUAAUUUUAAUUGGGUUCUAGGUCACGAACUGGGUCAUGCCUUGGGUUUGCCUCAUGAUGAUGAGUCUCCUAAUUCUAUAAUGUCCACUUAUUACACCAGUGUUUUAAGACCAUCAAAAGCUGACCUUAAAAAUAUAAAAUGCUUGUAUGGGGCGGCAAAACCUAAUAUAAGCGUCCUAUGUCAGCAAAAAACGGUAGACGUGCUACUGAAAACCGAGAACCUUAUCCUUAUUAAAGGAACAAAAUACUGGACAAUAUUCAACAAUACUGUCCAAGCUGGACCGUUUUCUCUUGAACUAUUGUACCCAGAAUUACCCGACCGAAUUGACGCCGCUAUUUCAGUGAAAAAUGUUGUAUAUUUUUUCAAAAACAAUGUAUUUUUCAAGUUCAUUAAAGGAAGAAGUAACUUUGCGAGGAAACUUAUUUCGGUUGGUUUUGAAAGCGUGCCAAAUAAUAUCGAUACUGCGUUUUUUGAUCCAAGUGCUAAUUACAUUUAUUUUUUUAAAGGGUCAAAGUAUUAUAUUUUCGACUUUUAUAAAACAGUAGGAAAGCGAAUGAUAGUAGAAAAUAAAACGAUUUCCAACGAUUGGCCAAUUCCCGACAACAUUGAAGCUGCGACUUUGAUAAAUAAUUCAUUAGUUUUGUUUAUUAAAAAUUUCACUUGUUAUACUGUUAACGUGACAACGAAAGAGCUCACAAGUGAGCAAAGCUGUGCCAGGUUCUAUGGGUGUUAAAGAAACACAAAAAUAUACCCAAAAUAUUUUAUUAAAUCAUGCAACAAUUAAAAUAAAACGAUUCCCCAGUUUA